CAGUUGACACCUUUGUGAUGUCAGCAGCCUCAGGAGACUGCCUGGCUGAGGGAGGGAGAGUCCUGCCUCUCUCUCCUUCUGGGUUGGUGUGGUGUGGGGGUGUGUGUUUCUCGGCUCCAAGGAGUAAAUUGUCCCCUCCUAGGUGCUAAAGGGUACAUGAACUUCAGGCCAGGUCAAACCACUGAUAUUAUGUGAUCUAUUUACACUGGGGGUUCCUCAUCUUUUAAAAGACAACGGCAAGGAAGCUAAAAGGAAAAACAACUUUCCUAACCUCACUGAACGAGUGAGUGGCACAGCCAAGCAACAGUUGACUUGUCGAUGCCUGAGGUGACUCCGGUUCCUGGGUAGCCACUAUGUAAGGAGGAGUUCCUUCCAAGACAAUCUGGAACAUGCUCUAUCCAUUGAACAGGCUGAUGGGCAUUUCAUACUUGCCAAAGCCCCAGAUGGUGCCGAACCACUCUAGUGGAAAUGUCUCUGUAAUCCAGCAUGGUGACCCUGCCCCCCGGCCUGCCCUUCAGAGCAACCUUGGACACUGAAAUUCUAAAGCAGUGUUGGCCUUUUGUGGUGUCUCAAGAGCAAUCCGUACCUCACAGAGGCUCUGGGAGGUUAGGGGGAGGACAGAAGGGAGUUGAGUCCUUCUCUCCUUCAGCAUUCCUAGUGGACAGAUUUUCAAGACAAUAUGUCAUGUGGGAGGUAGAAACUUGGAGCACAAGUGCCUAGGGCAACGUCAGAGUUCCCGCACUGGAUGCCAUGGAGAGGGGCCCUCUUGGCAUCUGGUGUGGAGAUCAGAAGGGAGACCAUUAAUCCUGAGAAAGGCUGACUCUCAGUCUGAGCCCUGCUCGACGAGACCCCGAGUAUCCGAGGGUCAGGGGCAGGAUCACUAACCUGUCAUGGGGUGUAAAUAGCCCCUGUUUCACGGAGCGUGCUAUCUACCUUCCUGGAGAGCUUGCUUCAGACAAACGGCUUUCCACUCCCCAAGCCAGAGAGGAUGAAAGGUCAGAAAAAUGCCUCUGAGAAAAUCCUGGUGCGUGCGUCCUGCUGCGUCAUCUGGCCACUCGCCUUCGCCCCUUCUCUCUCAGCCUACAGCUGCCACUCUUCUGUGCAAAAACGGGCCACGCUGGGUUCUCUCUGAGAGAGAUUCUUUUGCUGUUGCCCUAGUAACAGAAUUAUUAAACCAAGUUCCAGCCUCGGGAGUAUUUGUGCCUGGUGAGAGGAAAGAGGUUCCUGCAGUCAAAGUACACCUGGUUGUGAAGCGUGUGCCGUUGUUAUGAGAAGCAACUUGGAAAGUUCCUCCUAAACCUUGAAGGAAGCAAAGAGCUCAGAAAGCAAACCAAAAGCAGUAUUCUGUGGGGAUGUGUGUAGUUUAAAGUUCUGUUCUGAAAGUAACGUCCUACCUCAAAUGUCUGUGGCAGAAGAGGUGAUAGAAGAGGCACAAGAGAGCAAGCAGAAACAUGCAAGUCCUUGUAUACUCAUAGACCAGCUGGAGGAAGUCACAGGGAUGAGCUCAGGGUCAAGCUUAAGACAUGGGCACCAAAGAGUUCAACAUGGACCAGAGGAACUGGAAUAUUGGUUCUCCUGUUAUAAAAUCAAGGCACUUUUUAUUGUUCCACACUAUGCUUAAUGAAGAACAUGAAUUCCAGGAGUUUUGUCAGAGACUUCCUAGAGGCAAGGGGUUUUUACAAAUCUUGCCCAAGGAUUGGACAAGAGCUGGUCUAUGAGUCUGUCUUUUCCAGAGGGGAUGGAUGUGUAUGCAGGGCCUCCGCAUUAAGAGAAUGGGCACAUUCUCAGUGGCAUCGCUAGAGGACAUCAGGUACCUGCCCUCGACCCCAUACUCCUUCAGAUGUGACUACUUUCCAUCGAUCUGUGUGUGGGAGAAUCACGGGAUGUUGCUGUGUCAGAUGUUCUCAGAACACACAUGACGCCCUAGGAAAUGGAGUCUGAGGUCCUUUAGGAUGAUGCAUUGGACUAAGCAGAAAAAUUUUCUCUUGACAAUGCUGUGGUUCACACCUUUCCUGUGAGCUGAAUUGCCUAGAGUUGAAUGAGUGUCAGAUUUGCAUCCACAUCUCCCCUCAGCUCAGCUCUUCACUUCCAGAUUUUUAUCCCCAGGGUGGAUUAAAAACAGAGCUCCUUCGCGGGAAGGCGAUGGUUUCCAUCCGGAACCCUGUCCUGGCUUGCCUUGUCUUUUCUCUGUCAUCCUGAAGGGAGAAAUAUCUUGCAUAGCCUCAAGAGGAAGAAGUCUUGUAUCAGAAAGUCGCAGGACUUGCCCAACGUCUCCCUGGACAGAACAGAGGCCUUGGGAACUGGACCAAGGCAUUCUGUCUCCAUCUUGUCUCUGCUUCUGGUGUGAAGGUUCUGGACAAAUUUAAUGAUGAAUAAUGACGAAAACUCAAGAAAUGUCCCCAUGAGAUGUGCGUGUGGUUUUCCCAGUGUGGUGCAUCAGCUUGGACAGGAUACUCUCUGAGGUUCUGAUGGCUACCCAGGACAUCGGGGCCAUUGGCCUCAGACUCGGGAACCGCCCGGUCCUCUGUCUGCCGAGGACCCAUUGCUUGACCUUGGACAAGUCGCUUUCCCUGUCCGGGCAUCAUCACGUCCCUCCUCCCUGAGUGACUUGUUCAGCACCUACUGAGCCAGACGUUUUGCCAGGACCAGGUGCUACAGAGACGAGAACAUCACAAUGCCUGCCUGCAAGAAGCUCACGGCCUGCCGGGGGAGCAGGAAUGCAACCAAGUCAUUCCUGUAUGCUGAGAUACGAGAAAUAGGUGCUCAAAAGCCACACCUGGCAAGUGGUUACCACGCUGGACCGGGAAGCUACAGAACGUGUCCAUCCCUGCAGAAAGUUCUAUUUGACAGAGCUGUUCUGGACAGAAGGACAGCAUGCUGACUUCCCGGACACCAUUAGCUUUGGUCUGAAGAUGCUUUUUUGUGCCGUGGGCCUUCGAGCCUUCAGAGCUGCCUCGUGGAUAGAGAGUGGUCCACGGGGCAAGGCCUGGAAAGCUGGGUACCCAGUGAUGACAGCGUGGGCCUGGUGGAUAAGCCCUCCUCGGGGGGCUGGGCUGUGGAUGUCUAUGCUGCUCCUGGGUCCAAGCAGUCAUCAGCAAGGACACAGCAGCUGCCUCGAAUCUCAUGCUACCUUGACAUCUCCAUUGGACAUCCAGUGGGCAUCCAACCCAGAACCCCUCGCCUCCCACACCCACCUGCUCCUCUGCAGUCCUGCCCCUCUUGGUUGAUGGCACCGCUCAGGCCCAGACCCCGUGAGUUGCCUCACCUCCUCUUCUUCUCACUGCUCUAUCCCUCCACCCAACCUCUUGGCGAGUCAUGUUGGCUCUACCUUUCCCAUAUGGCAGGUGCUGACCACUUCUUACCAUCUGCACUGCUGCCCCUGGUUUUGAAACUCCAUUAUCUCUCACCUGGAUUUCUGCAGCGGCCUCCUAGGUGGUGUUCCAGCUGUCCCUCUUGCGCCCUCCCAUACCUUCCGUCCCCAAUAGAGCAGCUGGAGUGAUACUGCUAAGAGUUAGGUCAUUUCAGGCCUCUGCUUCAAAGCCUCCCAGUGCCCCCAUUUUACUCAGAGUAAAAGUUAGAUUCCUUACAAUGUCCUGUCAAACCCUCUGUGACCAUAGGACCUGGCCCCCUUCCCUCUCUGACUUCAUCUCUUCCUCUUCUCCCCCUCAUGUCCUCUGCUCCAGCUACGCUGGCCUCCUCCCUGUUCCCAAGGGCCUUUGCUCUGGCCGUCCCCUCUGCUUGGAAAGCCUUUUCUCCAGAUAGCCAUAUUCCUUCGACUCUUUGCUCGAAUGUCAUCUUCUCAACAAAGCUUAUGACAAUCUUAUUUAAAAUAGUAACCUGCGUGCCUCCCUGUCUUUCCCCCAGCGUGCUCCAUCCGCUUUACCCUGUGACACUCUUCCCUCACCUACCACAUAGCACCUCCCCUGCUUCUUCAUUUAUUGAUUGAUUUUGCUCAUUUUUGCUUCUCCGUCUCCCCUCACUAGAAUAUAGGUCAAAGGAAGGCAGGGGGCUUUGUCGGUUGUGUUUCUGGAGGUAUCCUAUGUGCCUAGAACACACCGUGGUUGGCGGUAAGUAUUUGUGCUGUUGCUCUCAUCCUUAGCCGCUCUCUGCUGCUGGGGGUGGGGUGGGGGGAAGGUCUCCUGUACCCAGGAGCCAAUCUGCAGCCUGGGGUGGCAGUCCUAGCUUCUCUUUAGGAUUGCCAGGUCAGGCUUCAGGAGUGGACUGGCCUACGGAAAUUCUCGAGCUGAAGUUGAAGGCUCAAGCCUCAGGUGAGCUGACUCCAAAUGAGUCUUCUGCUUUUCUGGGUGGAGCUGUAAGGAAGGGCCCCUGGGCAGGGUGGUGGGUUUGGGACACCCCCCACCCCCACUCCCCAUUGCAGGGUACAGUUUAGCGCCCUUGCAGGAUGUGUCCAAGGCAGCUGUCUCUUUUCAAAACUGCUCCAUCAUGCCCCCCGGUUGUAAGAGCCUCACGUGAGCAUCUCUGAUGAUUCAGGAGCUGAAUGGGAGGGGGAGGAUUUCAGGCGUCAGAGCGGAGCUCCUCAAUGGGUGGAUGUGGACUCUUGAGUGCACGCACAAAGGGAGGGGAGGGCGGGCAGGGAGUGGAGAGCUCUGGGCCCCCCGCCCCCACCCCUAAGCGGUGGAUUUUUCCUCUGUUCAGAGGGAACAGUAAAGCCUGCCUGUCUCCCUUUCAGUGUUGUGAGGAUCAAGUGAAAUAAUGUAUAUGAAAAUGUUCCAAAAAGAAUAAAGAGCUUUGCCAGAAUGAAAAA